UAAAGUUUCCUUUCUGUCCCCUAAAGUCUCUUUCCUGUCCUAUAAAGUCUCCUUUCUGUCCUCUAGUUUCCCUUCUGUACCAUAAAGUCUCCUUUGUCCUCUAAAAUCUCAUUUCUGCUCCUUGAAGUCCCUUUCUUCCCCUAAAGUUUCCAUUCUGUCCCCUAAAGUCCUUUUCUGUCCCCUAAAUUCUCCCUUCUGUCUCCUAAAAUCUCCUUUUUGUCCCUUAAAGUCCCCUUUCUGUCCCCAAAAUCUCCUUACUGUCCCCUAAAGUCUCCUUUCUGUCCCCUAAAGUCCUUUUCUGUCCUCUAAAUUCUCCUUUCUGUCCCCUAAACUCUCCCUUCUGUCCCCUAAAAUCUUCUUUUUUUCCCCUAAAGUCUCCUUUCUAUCCCUAAAGUAUCUUGGAGUACCCUUGGUUUAUGAUGCCAGUACAUUUUUUUAAUUGAAUCUCAGGUUUUUAUCAUGAGCAUGGCAAAGGUUGAAUUUGCUGAUUUGCAGGGUGAGUCUGACUGGCUGAUCCAGCCAGAAAUUGCAGCAAACCCCAGUUCUGCUCUUGAAAAUCUGCUGUGGGUUUGUUUUCCCUGCAGGUAACGUGCUUGUACUCAUUUAAGGCUUCAGCAAUAGUUUGUAGUGGUUGCUGGUGUGUAAAAUGCAUCAAACUGUUGUAUACAUUUAUCCUUUCAUGCAAUAAAAUAAUUCUUCAAGAGCAAUUUUAUCACCUGCAGUGGGUGGAAAUACAAAAAGAAUUAUAAGAAUUGAUCCCCCCUGUCUGUGUGCUGAGGUCACAGCUGUUGUGAUGGUUGUUAUUAGCACAGCUCAGAAAAGCUGCACCAUUAAAAAUGGGUUUGGAAGGAUGUGCAUCUGGGAUUGCAUCAUUAACAUGGCAAAAGAAAUUAAUAAGGCUGCUGCCUGAGAGUUGGGCAUUAGAUCCUCAGCUUUAAGUUGGAAUUUAAUACAUUUUUUUACUAAAAUGGCCUUAAAUGAAUAUUGGUUUUCUUACAUAAUAAAAUUACUGGUUUGAUCUCCAUUUUACAGACCCCAAACAUCAAUAAUUCAGAGGAAUUAAUGUGUGUCCCCUCUGUAUUUCAUCUUGUUUCCUGUUUUGUCAUUAGGUAACAGUUCCCCCCAAGGCACAUGGUUUAAAACUUCCAAUCCAGCUUGUGCCUUUCUUCCAGAUCUGCAACUGCAGACACCUUUCAAGGCUGGAUUUCCACAGCCAGAGCUGUGCCCAUGAUAAGAGCCCUGUGUGUAACAUUCCCAAAUCAGAACAGAUCUUGGCUCUGGGAUUUCAGCCAUUAAUCAAUUUUAUCUGGCUUUUCAAAGUGUGAAAAUCUGCACUGCAGAGGAAUUUUAUGGAUUGCAACCCUAAUUUUUGGAGUAAAAUUCCCCAGAAGUGCCCUGGUUAGAAAGCUUUGGGCAGACUUUUCAGGUUGCUGUGAAUUGCUGUUAAGCCUGGCUUGCCUUUUGCCUGGAAGUACAUCCCAAUUAGUGACCCUUCCAUGGAGCAGUAGCAGCAGAGAAGGAUUUGGUUGUUUUUUUUCAAGGCAGUUGUAAAUGAUUAGUCCAAAGGAGCAGCAUAAAACUGAGAGUCCCCUGCAGGAGUCGGCUGGAGGAAAUUAAAGGAUCAACAACAGAAGGGAAGCACUGAGCUAGGAUUGUUCCAGGCUGCAGCCACAGGCUUGCACAUGCACUCAGGAAAUUGGCUCCAUCAAAAGCUGAGGAUGCAGGAGUGAGGAUGAGGAGGAUCAUGCAGGUGAUGGUUCUAAAUCAUGGCCUGAGAUCCCAGAGCUUUCCAAGGGAGAGCUUUCCUCCCCUCCUCACAAAAAGCAGCAGUUCCCAGGUAAAAAUGGAAUCUUCUCUUUAUGAACCAAUAAAAGUUCAGCAGAAAUGUGAGCUGUAAAUCUGGUCUAACUCAAUAAAUAACAAAGAUUCAGUCUCCCCACAAUACCAUCAGCUGGGUGGGGGUUUUUACUGUGCUGUGCCCUGGGUUUGUGUGUGAGAGCUGUGAAAGCAAUGACUGGGGAGGGCUUGGCAGCCAGGUAAAGCUUUUCCUUUAAAGUCUAAAGUCAAUUCAUUCUGCAGAAAUUUGCAUCUUCUGGGCCUGGGAUGGAGCUGAAACCUUUGCUGGUGGAGCAGGAAAGGAUCACAGGAGGGGAAAUGCAUAAAUCUCCAUCUGGAGCCAAGUUUGCUGGGAAGGAGAUGGGGGAGCAGGAGUGCCAGAGCAGCUGAGAGAGCAAAAUUCCAAGGGAAAAGUGGAAGAAAAGAAGAGGCAUGGCCCAGGAAUUCAGCUCUUCUAAUGCUCAAUGCUUUCAUCAGAAACAAACCACUGGAAAGCUGUAACCCAAACAAGGAAAUUAGAGCAAAAAUGAACAAUAUUCAACUAUUCAGAUGUCAAAAGAACCAGAGGAGUUAUUGGUGUGAGAGGUUAUUGCCAGAGGGGAGAGCUCAGCAUGUCCUGGGUAAUUAAGCUUCAUUGCAGAGCACGGAUCCCUUCUCCAGGAAGGAUCCUGCUCUGCCAGGAUCUCCAGCAGGAGCAGCACCUGCCAAGCCUCUCCAGGUGGGAAAAGCAGGAGAAAUCCAAUGGAACCUGGGUGCCUCACCUGGGCCUGGACACACAGCCAGGUUAGAAACCUUGCAAUGAAAACAUAAAGGGAACUAAAAAAGAACAACCUCUUUCCAUCCCAUAAAUUAAUACCAACAGGUUUGGGGGUUUUUUGUUUGGUUUGGUUGGUUUUGGUUUUUUUUUUUUUUGCCUGUGCUCAUCUUGAGUGGGAUUUGUAAUAAUUCAAUGAUGUCUCAAUGUUUUUGUCAGAGUCACACAGGAGGGGGAUCCCACUAACAUCACUUUUUUAACCAUUUGGAAAAGGGAAAUCUGCUCUAAGUGGAUUCCUCUGAGUGGAAAAAGAUUGUCACUGGAGAAUGAUUCAUCCCAUUUCAUCUCAAUGUCUGAUCUCUCUCCAGUGACUAUAAAAGGAACCCAGAUGACCAGAUUAGCAUAUAUCCAAAUUUUGCACAUUUUUCUGCUAACUCAGCCUUUCCCAAUCAGGUCCUGUGCUCAUAAAUGCCCUGGGCUAUUUUUACAAGGAAGAGCUCAUGGUUUGGCACAGGGGUUCCCAGGGCUCUCCUCAGCUCCAGUGGCUGCUGUGGGACACAGCCUGGGCCCUGCCCUUUGCAAAGGCUGCCAGGUCAAACUUGCAGUAAUUCCAUGGUCAAGAUUUCUCUCCCCUCCCUGCAUUGACUGAAAGGUUCUGGGCUGAUUCUUACAGGAAUUACUUUUUAAACUGCCUUCAAUCAAGAAAUAUUGCAUGGAUGAGCAGAAGGUGCACGAAAAAUGGCUAAAAUAGCAGCAGUGAUUAUGCAUGAAAAAUGAUAUUGUGAUUGUGUUGGUCACCUCUAAAACAGGCAGAGGAUCCAGGCAGGUUUUCCUUUGCAGCCUGGGCUGUGACCCCACUGAUUUCUGGGUUCCAUUUGUCAGGUCCCUGGAACUGGCAGCUCAGUCUGGGGCUCUGGGGACCAGAGGCUGCUUUAAAGCAGUGCUCAGAUCAACUCAGGUGUCCCUAAAACAAAGAAACACCUGAAAAAUCCCAAAUAAACCCAUGGGCACCUCAAACCUGAUGGUGGAGCUUUGAGAUGGAGAAAAAAGGGCCAAGUGUGCACCUUGGGAAGUGGAGGGUGGUGUAGUCAGGCAGCAGGAGACAGAAGACAGACAAGGCAUCUUAAUUCACCAUGGAACAGUUUUAUACUGAUUAUUGAAAUGCACCCAGAGACAGCUAGUAGUAGUAAAAUGACUUUAUGUUCUGAUAUGUAAAAUAAAAUGUCCAUGCUAUGUAACAAACAUUUAAAAAUUCCAUACCACCUGUAUCUAAUGCGGUUUCUAAUAAAGAUUUAUCUGUAG